AUUGAACGCUGGCGGCAUGCUUUACACAUGCAAGUCGAACGGUAACAGGGUGCUUGCACCGCUGACGAGUGGCGAACGGGUGAGUAAUGCGUCGGAACGUGCCGAGUAGUGGGGGAUAACGCAGCGAAAGUUGUGCUAAUACCGCAUACGUACUGAGGUAGAAAGUGGGGGACCUUCGGGCCUCACGCUAUUCGAGCGGCCGACGUCUGAUUAGCUAGUAGGUGAGGUAAAGGCUCACCUAGGCGACGAUCAGUAGCGGGUCGGAGAGGAUGGGCCGCCACACUGGGACUGAGACACGGCCCAGACUCCUACGGGAGGCAGCAGUGGGGAAUUUUGGACAAUGGGCGAAAGCCUGAUCCAGCCAUGCCGCGUGUCUGAAGAAGGCCUUCGGGUUGUAAAGGACUUUUGUCGGGGAGGAAAUCCCCAGCGUUAAUACCGCUGGGGGAUGACAGUACCUGAAGAAUAAGCACCGGCUAACUACGUGCCAGCCGCCGCGGUAAAAC
rnacentral:rRNA from 1 species